rnacentral:rRNA from 1 species
GAUGAACGCUGGCGGCGUGCCUAAUACAUGCAAGUCGAGCGAACAGACGAGGAGCUUGCUCCUCUGACGUUAGCGGCGGACGGGUGAGUAACACGUGGAUAACCUACCUAUAAGACUGGGAUAACUUCGGGAAACCGGAGCUAAUACCGGAUAAUAUAUUGAACCGCAUGGUUCAAUAGUGAAAGACGGUUUUGCUGUCACUUAUAGAUGGAUCCGCGCCGCAUUAGCUAGUUGGUAAGGUAACGGCUUACCAAGGCAACGAUGCGUAGCCGACCUGAGAGGGUGAUCGGGCACACUGGAACCGAGAAACGGUCCAGACUCCUACGGGAGGCAGGAGUAGGGAAACUUCCCCAAUUGGGGAAAGCCCUACGGAGGAACGGCGGCGGGGGUGAUAAAGGUCUUGGAUCGGAAAACCUUUGUUAUAAGGAAAAACAAAAUGGGAAAGUACUUAUCACCGUUUUGACGGAACCAAACAAAAAAGCAACGGCUAACUAGGU